UAGGGAAUCUUCGGCAAUGGACGAAAGUCUGACCGAGCAACGCCGCGUGAGUGAAGAAGGUUUUCGGAUCGUAAAACUCUGUUGUUAGAGAAGAACAAGGACGUUAGUAACUGAACGUCCCCUGACGGUAUCUAACCAGAAAGCCACGGCUAACUACGUGCCAGCAGCCGCGGUAAUACGUAGGUGGCAAGCGUUGUCCGGAUUUAUUGGGCGUAAAGUGAGCGCAGGCGGUUUCUUAAGUCUGAUGUGAAAGCCCCCGGCUCAACCGGGGAGGGUCAUUGGAAACUGGGAGACUUGAGUGCAGAAGAGGAGAGUGGAAUUCCAUGUGUAGCGGUGAAAUGCGUAGAUAUAUGGAGGAACACCAGUGGCGAAGGCGACUCUCUGGUCUGUAACUGACGCUGAGGCUCGAAAGCGUGGGGAGCAAACAGG
rnacentral:rRNA from 1 species